rnacentral:lncRNA from 1 species
AAAAAAUAUUAAUUGUGCCUAGUAAAUCGAUUAAAAAAAGUAGAAUUUCUACUUUACUUUCUUAUUAAAAUAUUAGUAGUUUUUAAGAAAAGUUUAAUAGCCUAAUUAGGUGGCUAACAGUGUCAACACCUAUUUAUUAUUCGUUGGAAAAUCAGUUCAAGAAUUGAAAAAUUGAAUCGAGCUUGCACGAAUUAGUAAGUCGAAGUGUUGACAGUGAGAGUGAAAAAAAAAAUUGUUUGGGGAAAGCGAAUUUUCUUCCCCAAACCAACGGGAAUCCGAAUAUUUGAUGACAUCUCCGAAACACGAUUUAUUCAGUUUUAUUUGUUUUUGUUCCGAUCCUUUUUUUUUUUUACAAGGGAAUGGGAAUUUGUUUGUAUUAAAUAAUCCAGUGAAAAUAAUUGAUCCAGUGGAGUUAAUUUAAAGAGUUCCAUUACUCCACAGUCGUAAUUUGCCUAAGCCACAUGCUAGCGAUCUUAUUAUCCCGUUAGCAUAUGUAAAUGGAUGGAAUAAAAAUGAUCAUUCUCUUUCUAGAUACUCUGCCGACAAUUAUUCAUGAAGAACCUUUAAAGUUGGGUGUUUCCUUUUAAAUAGAAGAAUAUUAACCUAAUCCACCCAUGAUGACCCAAACUUUUUCCAGACUUUUUUUUAUAUUUCUAAUGUUUAGAAGUUUCUGAAAAUCCCUCGAGUAUUAAUAAACAUUCUGUAAGCUUAUAUAUAUAAUUUACUUUGCUAUUCCGUCUCUAUCGCUCGACCAAUUACUGUUCCUGUCUCUAGCGAUUCCUAUCGAGUUUUCUACAUUAAUCGAUAUAUAGUUUCUGGAUUAACUCGGCCAGUUAGUUUCCUAAAUAAGACGAUAUAAAACACCAUUCUGCGGAUUACAUUUGGAAUUCUGUCGAGUAGCCGAGAGUAAAAAUCAUUCGAAUUUGAUCAUUUGACUGUUCCUGACAUUUCCGAUCAUUAAAAAAGACGAGGACACGCUGACACCACCGUGUUACGUCAUAUCUGCUCGAAACCGAUAACGAGAUGCUUUUUUCCCCGCUGUCUGUUCUAUUUUUCUGCUGAAAAACCCAUCGUUAUUCUGCCAUUCAAUAAAACUUCGAGUAACUGAAAAGAGAAUUUUCUCUUAUAAUCGUUUUUUUUUUCUUUUUUAUAUUUUGUGUUCUAGGAGAUAGCGUGUCCACCAGAAGUAUUUAUCGAGGUAAAAACGGGUUAAAAAAUCUUUCUUUCGAGAUGUACUUUAAGCUGCAUUCUAGACACGUAAGUUUGGUUCGCUUCAUCGAAAACUACGCUAGUCGAGCGGAUAGGGAAUCAAAGCGAACACUUCAAAUUUUAAAAAAUCCCGUGGUUAUUCUGAAUUCUGACAUUAAAAGAAAUAUAUAAAAGGUAUAAAGAGGAAAGAUAGUCGGCGAAGAGAGAAAAGUCUGCGGGUGACGUGAUAGAGAACCGAGUAAGAGCUUUCCUGUGUUAACCCUCCAGAUGCGUCUACGGAGAUUUCUCACCUGGCCAUCCUGACAAGUGCAACAGUCUGUUGUCAAUCUUAUCAGACUCGAAUUUUAUGUUUGUAGUCUUUUCUACCAAAUAAGCGAUGACCGUUGGCUAAUGUUAAGAGAGCGGCUAGUAAAUUAGAAAACUCCCUAUUUUAUGUUUAAAAGUAAACGAGACAAAUUGGUAAAAUGUCCCAGCGGAUGGAUUUUACAUUAACCUGACCAUGCUCUUCGAAAUUUUAUGCUCCUCUCUUUCCAGAAGAAAAGACAAACGCAUCAAUACCGUCUUGUUCCUUCUAAUCCUGUGAGACAUUUUCCUGCCGUUAUCUACCUCUUCCUUUUGUCGUUGAAGUUCUCCUUAUCUAACACGCUCCCGGACGUGUGCUAAGAUCCGUCUCAUUAAUGCCGAGGUUGAUGUGUCGCUUUGCAUCUAUCAGGCGAAGGAUUACUUUCAUUUUGGCACGAGUUUCCAGCUCCAUUGGAAAGUAUCGAAUGCUUUGACCUUGAUCUCCUCUUCCUCUCUUUGUUCUAACGAUGCUAAUUAAGAUUCUGCUCUAGAAGGGAGACCAAAUAUUUAAAUAGUUGUAAGAACGAGAGUCGCAGUUUCAUUUCCUCUUAUUUAAUGUCUGACGUACGUGGAUUAGAGUUGGAUGAGAAUAUCUGAUAGGUGCGACUUUAAUAAUGUCUGCUAAAAGGGGAGAAAAAGAAAAUCUGACAGGAAUAUGAUAGGAGAGGGCGAAGAAAGAACUUAAGCUUAAUUUAAUAGAAUUCUGUCUGGCGGGCUGAGAAAAACUAUCCACUUUUCUGGCUUAAGACGUGAUGUUAGUGACGCGCUCCUCCCUCGACGCAUUUUCGUGAUAUUUGUGGAUUCGUCAGUGGCACGGUAUCGUAUAAGAUGUAAUUUAUAAUUUUUUUUUUUUUUGCCCUUUCUGCUGUGACGUAGGGGAAAAAAGUUUAUUUUGGAAGAGAUGGUUAAUUGAUAGAAGUGAGGUUCUUUUCAACGUCUUUCGACAGGAGGUGGUGUUGUUUAGGAUGAAUGGAACCUUAAUUACUGAAGCGAAAUCCCUACUCCGUGUCUGCUGUCACUCAAUCGAUGAUAUCUAGCUUUUCUUUCUUCCUUUGAAUUUUCUUGGAAUCGGAUCGAUUUUGAGUGAGUUAUCGUUUGAAGGAAGCGAUUGAUGACCUUUCUCCGUAUGAUUGAUUAUCGAUAUACUCUUAUCAAUCGAUUUUCUUAAACAAACUGGCUUUUUCAGAUUUUCGAGAGAUUUAUACGCGAGUUUCUUUUUUAUUUUCGUAAUGGGACGAUAGCGCAGAAACCCAGUUAAACUCGGAAAGUAUAGGUCGCGAAACGAGUGAAGUUCGAAAAGAACGCCUUUAAUAGUGAGUCAGAUUGAUUUUGACAUAAAUAAUGAUACAUCGACUCGGUUUCUGGUCGAAAAUUUUAUUUGUAUGGCCCAAAAUGCGCAUUAAUAUAAAUGAGAAAUAGUUUCUUGUCGGUCAUUAACACGAGGAGCGUCGGAUGGAUGGCCUCCGAAACCGUCAAUUAUGAUACUUAAUGGCCACGUCCGGAGAUGUUCCCCGAGGAAUCGCUCAAUUUGUCCCCUUAUUGGGUUACGUCAUCCGUUUGUAUCCCCAAACACCAGAGACGAAACAGAGCAAACCGCAUCAACCUGUUGCAAUUUGCCAAUAAUCUCGAGAAAGAUUUCAUCCGCCAGUGGGAAAUUUCCAGAGAGACAGAUGGUAUUAACGCUUCUGGAGAAUAUGUAAAAUAGAAUCGAUAGUUUUCUUAAAAUAAAGGGUCUGUAGUCGCGCGACAUCAUUUGUCUCCGACUGCGUAAAUGGCGUUUCGGCUACCAAGACACCUUAAUGAUCUCCGUUACUAAGUAGAUGAUAAGAAAGACAGCUCGUUCUUCUUUUCUGGUGUAAUGACUGUUAGUUAUUCAAUGAAAAUUUUAAUGUAUUGUCAUCGAUAUCGAUGGCUAUCGCUCGGUAGACAGAUGGAAAAAAAAGGAAAGGAUCGGUACCUAUCGCCAUCUGGUGGAAAACACGCGAGUUUAUCGAGAAUUUCUUUGAUGGUUUUUUUUUUAUCGUCGAAUAUCCGAUUUAUUUAAUUUAUCCGAUAUUUGUGUGAUUUUAUUUAAAAUUUUUUGAAGAGUUUUUAAAUUAAGGUUAUUUUGGUUUGGAAUGAGCGUAUUACAUUUUGAAAAAUUAUUUAUUGAAAGUAACUCUUUAAAAAAUUUGAUUCAAAAUAAUCAGAUGC